GACGAACCGUGCAAACGUUGUUCGGAAUCACUGGGCUUAAAGGGCGCGUAGGCGGGCCAGCCAGUCUGUGGUGAAAGCCUCCAGCUUAACUGGAGAAGUGCCGUGGAUACUGCUGGCCUCGAGGAGGGUAGGGGCAUCUGGAACGGUCGGUGGAGCGGUGAAAUGCGUUGAUAUCGACCGGAACUCCGGUGGCGAAGGCGAGGUGCUGGGCCCUUUCUGACGCUGAUGCGCGAAAGCCAGGGGAGCAAACGGG
rnacentral:rRNA from 2 species